AUGUCAAAACACGGCCGAUAUAAAUCUGUUGUGGGGAUAUUGAUAUCUAAUAUAGUGUUGCCAUGGCAACGUGUCAAACUUGAAUAUUCUGUUCUGGUGAUUUUGAGGCAGAUAAAAUGCUCAGAACUACAUGAAACUCUGUACACUUAUAGAUCUCAUUGAGCCGAACAACUUUCGUGCUCUAUGACAAAGGCUCCGCCCAACAGGAAGUGAGCUAUUCAGGGCUGUUUAAAAAAAGCAUGCUCUGGAAUUUGAUAUACUCCUCUGAGGACUUUCAACCGUUUUCCUCGAAACUCUGUGAACAUGAUGUCAAGACAUUGGGGAUGCAAAAUUGCCAGGGGAUUUUUGAUAUCUCAAACGGGUUGUCCGUGGCGAGGCGUUGAAAUUAGGGCAAAAAAUGAGAAACAGGAAAUGUCUAAUAACAUCCACAUACACUUUCUGAUUUAGAUCAAACUUCAUCGGAUUGUUCGAUGUAUGAUGCCGAUCGCAUAUAUGUAACUAUUAGGAGUCAAAAUUAUAGCGCCACCAACUGGCAGCA
ensembl:lncRNA